rnacentral:rRNA from 1 species
AGCGAACGCUGGCGGCAGGCUUAACACAUGCAAGUCGAGCGGGCGUAGCAAUACGUCAGCGGCAGACGGGUGAGUAACGCGUGGGAACAUACCUUUUGGUUCGGAACAACACAGGGAAACUUGUGCUAAUACCGGAUAAGCCCUUACGGGGAAAGGAUUUAUCGCCGAAAGAUUGGCCCGCGUCUGAUUAGCUAGUUGGUGAGGUAAUGGCUCACCAAGGCGACGAUCAGUAGCUGGUCUGAGAGGAUGAUCAGCCACAUUGGGACUGAGACACGGCCCAAACUCCUACGGGAGGCAGCAGUGGGGAAUAUUGGACAAUGGGCGCAAGCCUGAUCCAGCCAUGCCGCGUGAG